rnacentral:rRNA from 1 species
UACGGGGGGAGCAAGCGUUGUUCGGAUUUACCGGGCGUAAAGGGCGCGUAGGCGGCCAGCACAAGUCAGUUGUGAAAUCUCCGGGCUUAACUCGGAAAGGUCAACUGAUACUGUGCGGCUAGAGUGCAGAAGGGGCAACUGGAAUUCUCGGUGUAGCGGUGAAAUGCGUAGAUAUCGAGAGGAACACCUGCGGCGAAGGCGGGUUGCUGGGCUGACACUGACGCUGAUGCGCGAAAGCCAGGGGAGCGAACGGG